rnacentral:rRNA from 1 species
CCUACGGGUUGCAGCAGUAGGGAAUUUUCCACAAUGGACGAAAGUCUGAUGGAGCAACGCCGCGUGAACGAUGAAGGUCUUCGGAUUGUAAAGUUCUGUUGUCAGGGACGAAACCGUGCCGUUUGAAUAAGGCGGCACCUUGACGGUACCUGACGAGAAAGCCACGGCUAACUACGUGCCAGCAGCCGCGGUAAUACGUAGGUGGCAAGCGUUGUCCGGAAUUAUUGGGCGUAAAGCGCGCGCAGGCGGUCGGGUAAGUCUGAUGUUAAAGCCCGGGGCUCAACCCCGGUUCGCAUUGGAAACUGCCUGGCUUGAGUGCAGGAGAGGAAAGCGGUAUUCCACGUGUAGCGGUGAAAUGCGUAGAGGUGUGGAGGAACACCAGUGGCGAAGGCGGCUUUCUGGCCUGUAACUGACGCUCAGAUGCGAAAGCGUGGGGAGCAAACAGGAUUAGAUACCCGGGUAGUC